UACUCGAGUGGCGAACGGGUGAGUAACACGUGGGUGAUCUGCCCUGCACUUCGGGAUAAGCUUGGGAAACUGGGUCUAAUACCGGAUAGGAACCAUCUUUAGUGUGGUGGUUGGAAAGUUUUUUCGGUGUAGGAUGAGCUAGCGGCCUAUCAGCUUGUUGGUGGGGUAAUGGCCUACCAAGGCGGCGACGGGUAGCCGGCCUGAGAGGGUGUACGGCCACAUUGGGACUGAGAUACGGCCCAG
rnacentral:rRNA from 1 species